AAACGACUCUCGGCAACGGAUAUCUCGGCUCACGCAUCGAUGAAGAACGUAGCAAAAUGCGAUACUUGGUGUGAAUUGCAGAAUCCCGUGAACCAUCUAGUUUUUGAACGCAAGUUGCGCCUGAAGCCAUCCGGUUGAGGGCACGCCUGCCUGGGCGUCACG
rnacentral:rRNA from 2 species